rnacentral:rRNA from 1 species
AGACCCGAAACCCGGUGAUCUAGCCAUGGGCAGGUUGAAGGUUGGGUAACACUAACUGGAGGACCGAACCGACUAAUGUUGAAAAAUUAGCGGAUGACCUGUGGCUGGGGGUGAAAGGCCAAUCAAACCGGGAGAUAGCUGGUUCUCCCCGAAAGCUAUUUAGGUAGCGCCUCGUGAAUUCAUCUCCGGGGGUAGAGCACUGUUUCGGCUAGGGGGCCAUCCCGGCUUACCAACCCGAUGCAAACUGCGAAUACCGGAGAAUGUUAUCACGGGAGACACACGGCGGGUGCUAACGUCCGUCGUGAAGAGGGAAACAACCCAGACCGCCAGCUAAGGUCCCAAAGUCAUGGUUAAGUGGGAAACGAUGUGGGAAGGCCCAGACAGCCAGGAUGUUGGCUUAGAAGCAGCCAUCAUUUAAAGAAAGCGUAAUAGCUCACUGGUCGAGUCGGCCUGCGCGGAAGAUGUAACGGGGCUAAACCAUGCACCGAAGCUGCGGCAGCGACGCUUAUGCGUUGUUGGGUAGGGGAGCGUUCUGUAAGCCUGUGAAGGUGGCCUGUGAGGGUUGCUGGAGGUAUCAGAAGUGCG